rnacentral:tRNA from 3 species
GGGGGUGUAGCUUAGUCUGGUUUAAAGCAGUCGCCUGUCGAGCGAAAGAUCGUGGGUUCAAAUCCAAUCACCCCCG